ensembl:lncRNA LINC00298 long intergenic non-protein coding RNA 298
UUGGAGUCACUCCCUGGCUACACACACUGAGGUGAUAACCAAGGUGCUCAAAAAGGGCCGGUGUGCCGCAGUGAGUGCCAGUUUGAAUGAAGGAAGCAUGCGUGGCCUGAAGCCUCACCGUGUUCCAGGCGUCCAGUUAAGUGCUCUGCACAUAAUAUCACACAUUGCGCUCCACGAUAAGAACAAAUUCUCACAUGGGAACCGAGCAAAGUGUAAUGGAUGUUCCCAGGAGCUGCCUAUGGGAUUCAAGAAAACUGUAUGAGAGGAGUAACAUUUGGGCUGGAAGCGAAAAUACAAGUAAACAUAUGUCAAAUGGGGUCAGCUGAGGGAAGACCAAAAGAGGGGACUGAGAAGAAUUAAAAGUACAUCUUUUCACCCUCAAGAAAGGAAAAGAUCACUCUCUGGCCUGAGUCCCAAGGAGUGAACAAGUGCCCAGCGUUAAUGAGAGAUAACUUCGCAUCAGUGCACAUGCUCUGAAAAUCAGCCAAUCCCUGAUAGCCUCACUUGUGUUGUGCUUCUGAAAAGGAGCCAGUCAGCAACAGCCUCGCUCCAGUAACUACGCUUCUGAAGAUCAGCCAACCGAUGACAGCUCCAGCUCCUGAAAGUCAGCCUGUCAGUGACAGCCCCUCACUUACAGACAACAGCCAAUCUGCCGGUCUUCACCCCGGUGACAGUGCUUCUGAAAGUCAGCUAACUCCAGUGACCAGGGGCACAGCUGACGUGCUGAGUCCCCCACACUCUCACCUCUGGAACCCACCAGCCUCUCCAGGAUGGGCUUCUUCAAACCUCAUCCAAGAUCAGCUCAGGCUUGAUUUGGGAGAGACCGUUCCUCCCUUACAAUUUCAACUCUUCCUUGGAGGAAAAUGAGAAGUUUUCCUCCAUAACAGAUAUUGAGUGUAAUUCAUCAUUAGCUUACAUAUUUGCAACCAUUGUGACAGUUCAUUCAGCCCCUAUUCACAGUUCAGACUUGCCAAAGAUGGACAUUAAGAUGCUCAAAUUUAAUCUUUUCCAUUUUUGUGACGGUUGCUAUUAUCCAUUUUUAUUUGUGUACUUUUGAGUGCCCAAAAUGUUAAAAGGCAAAUGUGAAUAUCACGAUAAAUUUUAUGAGCAGUAGACAUUUACCAAACAAGUGUAUGUCUUUUUGAAGCUCUUUGUGUAGUAUGCAAUUGUGCAUUCAAUACGAAAAAUGGUGGAAAGUAAGAUAUAAGUCAGCAAAUACUAAUAGCUAAGCAUGGGAGAUGCAUGAUAUCCUUUAUCAGUGCCAUAGAAAAUAAUAAUACAUUUUUUUGUGUAAGAGAAAUUCAAAUGAAACUGAUAUAUGAGUGGCAGCAGAUCUUGUGAUGGCCUUCCACAUUGUCUGUCAGUCAUCCAUCUUUCAGCUUAAACCACUCUGUGUCCUUCUACCAUUCAGAAGCACUGUCUAAUUCCAAAUUUGCAAAUUUGCAAAUAAAUUUUUUAAGUGCCAGGUGAAAAUUUACUUGCAUAAUUUAAAAAUGUAAUAGUUCCACUAACUAUUAUAGAGAUUAUCAAAGAUAUAAAUGCCCCACCUUUUAUGGCAACUGCAGGUACAAGUAAUCAAAACGCAGAUCAAAUUUCCCUUUGCUUUUGUAAUAUUUUUUUUCUCAUGUGAAGACCCUUCCAAAGGCGAUUUCAGAAACAAAAGCAAAUUUUAGGAAACUCAUAUGUAGGGUUGAAGAAGAUGAUAAAAUCUGAUGACAACAUGGUUUGUUUGUUUGUUUGUUUGCUUGUUUGUUUUGGCCAGAAAAUAAUAUUUCAAGAAGCUGAUCAGGAAAUUCAAUAUAAUCCUGAAGUGUGGAAAAAAUAAGUUAUACCAUGAAACAUGGUUUGUACUUGAACAAAUCAAAUUUGAAGAGCAAUUCUCAGAGUGCCAAUGUUUAG